rnacentral:rRNA from 1 species
CUACGGGGGGCAGCAGUGAGGAAUUUUGCACAAUGGGGGAAACCCUGAUGCAGCAACGCCGCGUGUACGAAGAAGGCCCUAGGGUCGUAAAGUACUUUCAGAAGGGAAGAAGGUUGCUCGGUUAAGAGCUAAGUAACUUGACGGUACCUUCAGAAGAAGCUCCGGCUAACUCCGUGCCAGCAGCCGCGGUAAUACGGAGGGAGCAAGCGUUGUUCGGAUUUACUGGGCGUAAAGCGCGCGUAGGUGGCUUGCCAAGCCGGAAGUGAAAGCCCACGGCCUAACCGUGGAAUUGCUUUCGGAACUGGCAAGCUAGAGGAUGAGAGGGGAAGGCGGAAUUCCAGGUGUAGCGGUGAAAUGCACAGAUAUCUGGAGGAACACCAGUGGCGAAGGCGACCUUCUGGAUCAUACCUGACACUGAGGUGCGAAAGCGUGGGGAGCGAACAGGAUUAGAUACCCCCGUAGUC